rnacentral:rRNA from 1 species
UACGUAGGGUGCGAGCGUUGUCCGGAAUUAUUGGGCGUAAAGGGCUCGUAGGCGGUUUGUCGCGUCGGGUGUGAAAACUCAGGGCUUAACCCUGAGCCUGCUUCCGAUACGGGCAGACUAGAGGUAUGCAGGGGAGAACGGAAUUCCUGGUGUAGCGGUGAAAUGCGCAGAUAUCGGGAAGAACACCCGUGGCGAAGGCGGCUCUCUGGGACGGUACUGACGCUGAGACGCGAAAGCGUGGGGAGCGAACAGG